AAAAGGGGUUCUGGAGGGCCUGGAUGCCUCCUGACCCCUCCUCCCUGUCCUGGUCUUGGAGCUGGCAGUCUGCUCUCUGUGAAGAUGGAGAACAGCUGGGUCCAGAGCCCCCCAGGACCCGCAUCCUGUCAGCCUGGCAGGCAGCCCCUCAGUCCCUCAGCCACUGGAGACACCAGAGGGGUCCCCCAACCCAGCUGGGGCCCUGAGGCUCAAGGCUGCCAGUGCCUCAAGCUCACCGCUGGAAGCCCUGGAAGCCUGUCUGAAGGGCAUUCCCCCAAAUGGGUCGUCACCUUCCCAGCUGCCACCCACUUCUUGUUCCCAGAACCCCCAGCCAGGAGACUCUAGGUCUCAGAAGCCUGAACUGCAACCCCAUAGAUCACACAGUGAAGAAGCGACCAGAGAGCCUGUUCUGCCUCUGGGUCUGCAGAGCUGUGUGAGAGAUGGCCCCACCAGGCCCCUGGCCCCCCGAGGAACCCCCACCAGCUUCUCCUCAUCCAGCAGCACCGACUGGGACCUGGAUUUUGGGAGUCCUGUGGGGAACCAGGGGCAGCAUCCUGGAAAAGGAAGCCCACCAGGAAGCUCCCCGCUGCAGGGUCUGGAGAAUUGUCUCAAGGAGAUACCUAUGCCUGCGCUGCGGCCUGCCUGGCCCUGCUCCUCAGCAGCAGACAGGGGACCGAGGAGAGCAGAGCCCAGGAACUGGACAGCAGACAAGGAAGACAGGACUGAGGGCCGAGGCCCGCGAGUCAGCCCGUCUCGGGCAGAGUAGGGGAGAAGCGCCCACCCGGAGCCUCCAUCUGGUCAGCCCACAGGUGUUCACCUCCAGCUGCGUCCCCGCCUGCCACCAGCGGGGGUUCAAAGACCCUGGGGCCACCAGGCCAGGAGUGUGGAGGUGGCUCCCAGAGGGGUCUGCCCCCAAGCCCUCCCCGCUGCACUGCCUGGAGAGCGCCCUGAGGGGGAUCUUGCCUGUAAGGCCCUUGCGCUUCGCCUGCGUGGCAGGCCCCA
rnacentral:lncRNA from 1 species